GGCCAGGCACGGCAUAGCACACUGGUAGAAGGUGGACUACAGGUGCCAGCGGGCCCUUUAUGUCCGGACAUGCUGGCACUUGUGGUUCUCCAAGUGCUAUGCAAAAAAGCUUAACAGCCACAGACCACCAGGUGAAGACGCUGGAAGCCCUGGGAAGGCGGCAGCCAUGCAAAAGAGCUUAAAGGCCGCUGCCUCCCAGGUGAAGACGCCGGAGAAAGACGACGGAAGCCCUGGGGAGGCGGCGGCCCCCCCGGUGAAGACGGCGGAAGCCCUGGAGAGGCGGUGGCCAUGCAAAAGUGCUUAAAUGCCGUCGUCCCCAGGUGAAGACCCUGACUAAUAAACUUUUUUUUAAAGAC